CUAUAUGGUGAUUAUACCUGUAUAGAGGGAUAAUCCUUCUAUAGAGGGGUAAAAUUAUCCCUCUAUAGAGGGGUAUUUUUGUUUAGACUGGAUUUAAAUCAAAAUAGGGCAGAAUGGCAUUCUCUACUUAUUAUGGCAGUAACCUGGAAUAGUUGAUGCACCAAUUGAUGUACUUAAUUUAAUAUGCACAUGCCCAGUUUGAUGCUUAUCUGACUAAAUAUAAAAGCUAUUGUUCACCAUGAUUGAAAGCUGUGAUGAUCAGGUAAAUUCUACUCACUUAUGCCUCACUGAACAGAAUUUCUAUUGUUAGAUUUAACAUGAAAUUUAAAGGUCAACUAUUCCUUUUGUUGUUGAUCAGGUGUUCAGAUAGGUUUACAAUAGAUUGCAAGUUUUGUCACUUUAGCAGAAAACUGGUUAUCCCAAUUUUUAGUAAAGUGCAUAUGUUGAUGCAUAUAAUGCUAGAGAUUAUAGCCAAUAUAACUAGAAAAUGCCAUUCUGCCCUAAUUUGCUUUAAAUCCAGUGCAAACAAAAAUACCCCUCUAUAGAGGGAUAAUUUUAUCCCUCUAAAGAAGGAUU
rnacentral:lncRNA from 1 species